GACGAACGCUGGCGGCGUGCUUAACACAUGCAAGUCGAGCGGUAAGGCCCUUUCGGGGGUACACGAGCGGCGAACGGGUGAGUAACACGUGGGUGACCUGCCCUCAGCCCUGGGAUAAGCCUGGGAAACUGGGUCUAAUACCGGAUAUGACUCCAUGACGCAUGUUGUGGGGUGGAAAGCCUUGUGCGGCUGAGGAUGGGCCCGCGGCCUAUCAGCUUGUUGGUGGGGUGAUGGCCUACCAAGGCGACGACGGGUAGCCGGCCUGAGAGGGCGACCGGCCACACUGGGACUGAGACACGGCCCAGACUCCUACGGGAGGCAGCAGUGGGGAAUCUUGCGCAAUGGGCGAAAGCCUGACGCAGCGACGCCGCGUGAGGGAUGACGGCCU
rnacentral:rRNA from 1 species